rnacentral:rRNA from 1 species
UAAGCAUAUCAAUAAGCGGAGGAAAAGAAACUAACAAGGAUUCCCCUAGUAACUGCGAGUGAAGCGGGAAAAGCUCAAAUUUAAAAUCUGGCGGUCCUUGUGGCCGUCCGAGUUGUAAUUUAGAGAAGUGUUAUCCGCGCUGGACCGUGUACAAGUCUCCUGGAAUGGAGCGUCAUAGAGGGUGAGAAUCCCGUCUUUGACACGGACUGCCAGGGCAUUGUGAUGCGCUCUCGAAGAGUCGAGUUGUUUGGGAAUGCAGCUCAAAAUGGGUGGUAAAUUCCAUCUAAAGCUAAAUAUUGGGGAGAGACCGAUAGCGAACAAGUACCGUGAGGGAAAGAUGAAAAGAACUUUGGAAAGAGAGUUAAACAGUACGUGAAAUUGCUGAAAGGGAAACGCUUGAAGUCAGUCGCGUCGUUCAGGACUCAGCCUUGCUUUUGCUUGGUGUACUUCUUGUUCGACGGGUCAGCAUCAAUUUUGGUCGGUGGAUAAAGGCUUAGAGAAUGUGGCAUCUUCGGGUGUGUUAUAGCUCUGGGUCGCAUACAUCGGCUGGGAUUGAGGAACUCAGCACGCCGCAAGGCCGGGUACUUGUACCACGUACGUGCUUAGGAUGCUGGCAUAAUGGCUUUAAUCGACCCGUCUUGAAACACGGACCAAGGAGUCUAACAUGCCUGCGAGUGUUUGGGUGGAAAACCCGAGCGCGUAAUGAAAGUGAAAGUUGAGAUCCCUGUCGUGGGGAGCAUCGACGCCCGGAGCAGACCUUUUGUGACGCAUCCGCGGUAGAGCAUGUAUGUUGGGACCCGAAAGAUGGUGAACUAUGCCUGAAUAGGGUGAAGCCAGAGGAAACUCUGGUGGAGGCUCGUAGCGAUUCUGACGUGCAAAUCGAUC